rnacentral:miRNA from 1 species
UAUGUAUUCUACAUAAUUUUCAAUGUUGUUAAUGGUUUUCAAAGUUUUCACUGUUUUCAAACAUUUCAAACAUGAAAACUUUGAAAACCAUUAACAACAUUGAAAAUUAUGUAGAAUACAUA